AUGAAUAGGAGCCACGCCGGCGACAACCCCAACCCUGGCCUGCAGGGGUUGCUGGAGAAGCUGAGCAGGGACGCCGACCAGGCAGAGGACUUGCUGGAUGAGGUCCACUACUUUCAGAUCCACGACAAGCUCCACGGCACCCUCUACGCCACCACCCAAGAGGCCGGCCAUCAAGCUCUCCAUGCUGGUACUGCUCUUCGCCACACCCUAGGCAGCUUGGUCCACUUCUUUUCUUGCUCGCGUACACCCAAGACCAAGAGGGAUGGAGGUAGUGAUGCUGCUGCUGCUGUUACCGGCCGCGUCACCAAAAGGUCCAAAGCCAACUCUGCUACUGCUCAUGGUGAUGACAUGCUGCAUUUCGACCGAUUGUCCAUGUCCAGCAAAAUCAAGUCCCUGUUACUGGGCAUGGAGUCCCACUGUGACUCCGUCUCCAAUUUGCUCAUCGGCAGUAUCCCAAGAAACAGCACGGCAGUCGUCCUACAUCGGCCUCAGACUGCUUCCAUGAUUAUACAAGACACAUUGUAUGGCAGGACAGACAUUUUUGAGGAAACUGUCAACCGUAUCACCACUGGUACGCAGACCGAGACUGUUUCUGUUCUUCCUAUAGUUGGUCCAGGGGGUAUUGGCAAGACAACUUUCGCCCAACAUCUGUAUAAUGAUGGCAGGACUGAAGAGCACUUCCGAGUCAGGGUCUGGGUAUGUGUAUCCACUGAUUUCGAUGUGCUUAAGCUCACCAGGGAGAUCCUUGCCUGCAUACCCACAAAGGAAGAAGAAGGAGGAAGCAGCAGUGUUGCAGAUGAAACAACCAAUUUAGAUCAUCUUCAGAGAUCCAUUGCGCGCGGUCUCAAGUCCAAGAGGUUUCUAAUUGUCUUGGAUGAUAUAUGGAAAUGUGACAGUGUGGACCAGUGGAAAACCCUGUUAGCUCCGUUCACAAAGGGGGAAACCAAAGGAAGCAUGGUACUUGUCACAACCCGAUUCCCAAAUCUGGCAAAAAUGGUGGGAACAGUUGAUUCACUAGAACUGGCAGGUUUGGAGCCUAAUGACUUCUUCACAUUCUUUGAAGCAUGUAUAUUUAAUGGUGAAGAAGACAAACCUGACCAUUACGAAGAUGAGUUUGAUGGUAUUGCACGAAAAAUUGCAAACAAGCUAAAGGGUUCCCCAUUGGCAGCCAAAACAGUUGGUAGACUAUUGCAUAAGCACCUUUCUCAGGAACACUGGAAUGGAGUUCUUGAAAAGCAUCAGUGGCUAAAGCAGCAAAGAAGUGAUGAUAUCAUGCCAUCUUUAAAAAUUAGCUACGAUUGCCUCCCUUUUCAUCUGAAGAAAUGCUUUUCCUAUUGUGGCCUUUUCCCUGAAGAUCAUAGGUUUACUUCUUCAGAAAUCAAUCAUUUCUGGGAUGCAAUGGGCAUCAUAGACUCUAAUCACCAAGCCGGCAGGGAUUACUUGGAAGAACUAGUGGACAAUGGUUUUCUCAUGAAGGUAUUCGACUGGGCUGAUCGAUCCUCCUAUGUAAUGCACGAUUUAAUGCAUGAGCUAUCUAAGAGUGUUUCUGCACAAGAAUGCCUCAGUAUAAGUGGCUUAGAUUUCAGAGCUGAUGCCAUCCCACAAUCGGUACGACACUUAUCUAUCAACAUAGAAGACAAAUAUGAUGCAAAUUUUGAGGAAGAAAUGUGUAAACUAAGGGAGAGGAUAGACAUUGCUAAUCUGCGGACUUUGAUGAUUUUUAGAGGAUAUGAAGAAAGGAUCACCAAGAUUUUGAAAGAUAGCCUCAAGGAAAUAAAUAGUCUGCGUGUCCUAUUUAUAGCAGUGAACAAUCCAGAAUCUUUUCCACACAGAUUUUCAAAACUUAUCCACCUCCAGUACCUCAAAAUUAGUUCAUCUCACAAUGACAUCGAAAUGAGGUUACCUAGUACACUGUCAAGAUUUUAUCACUUGAAAUUCUUGGACCUAGAUGGUUGGAAUGGUCGUUCUGAUUUGCCUGAAGACUUUAGCCACCUUGAGAAUUUACAUGCUUUCCAUGCUACAAGUGAACUCCACUCCAAUAUUCGCAAUGUCGGAAAGAUGAAGCAUCUGCAGGAGCUAAAAUAA
rnacentral:rRNA from 1 species